rnacentral:rRNA from 1 species
AGAGUUUGAUCCUGGCUCAGGAUGAACGCUGGCGGCGUGCCUAACACAUGCAAGUCGAGCGAUCUUCUUCGGAAGAGAGCGGCGGACGGGUGAGUAACGCGUGGGUAACCUGCCCUGUACACACGGAUAACAUACCGAAAGGUAUGCUAAUACGGGAUAACAUAUGAGAGUCGCAUGGCUUUUAUAUCAAAGCUCCGGCG